rnacentral:rRNA from 1 species
UACGUAGGGUGCAAGCGUUGUCCGGAAUUAUUGGGCGUAAAGAGCUCGUAGGCGGUUUGUUGCGUCUGCUGUGAAAACCCAGGGCUUAACCCCGGGCCUGCAGUGGGUACGGGCAAACUAGAGUGCGGUAGGGGAGAUCGGAAUUCCUGGUGUAGCGGUGAAAUGCGCAGAUAUCAGGAGGAACACCGGUGGCGAAGGCGGAUCUCUGGGCCGUAACUGACGCUGAGGAGCGAAAGCAUGGGUAGCGAACAGG